ensembl:lncRNA
CCAGACACAGAGGCUUUGCUCUGGCACUACAAUGGUGUUGGAGAGGCCAUAGUGAAGUGUCUUCAGAGGGCAGUGAGCCCACAUGGAGGAAAUGCAAGGAAGACCCCGAGAUUCUCCACUCACGUAUCUUCUGAGGACCCGGUCUAUUAGUGGCUUAUAACUUGUCUCUUCCAGUAGGGAAGGCAGCUGUGUGGUUUUGGAUUUCAUAGUAAAAAGUUCCUGCUGUCACAAAGGGGAGGUAUGAAGAAGGUAUGAAGUCAAGAAGCAGAAAGAGGUGCAAAGCCAUCAAAUUACUCCUAACUUCUUUACUUCUUCUGCACAUAGCACAUUCCUAAAAGCCUACAUACACGGCAGAAUUUACCAUGGGGUCUGUGGCAAACUGUUCUUGGGGUGGGCGAGACAGUGCUUCAAGGGAUACCCCAUUGCUGAGGGUCACAUUAAAGUCUUAGGAUCCCUAUACCUGCUGCUUACAGGUAGAAGAAAUCUGCAACCAUGGCACUUGACACAGAUCCUCUUUGAUGCUGAACUGACAAGUUACUUGCAGAGUUUGAAUGGAGCAAAGGGAAAUUUUUCCAGAGGAAGCUACAAAUUUGCAGCAACUGCCAAGGAGGUGUGCAGCCAGUGCAAAGGUGUUACAUCCAGAGGUGCUAAGUACCUGAGCUCCUUCCUGACACCAGUGGGGCAGAAUGCUCUGCAUCUCUCUGAAGCUCUGUGUCUGGACCUCUCUCAGCUGACCCAUGGUUCUUUGUACCUUCUUGCUCCCUGCCUUGGCACCCAGGGCCACAGUUUAUAAAUGCACAGGGUCCAACUCUGCCCCAUCCCCUUGUUGCUGCUGCUGCUGGAACUAUUCACUUUUGGAUGUCUUGCUGAGAGAAGCUUUGGGAUAUCUUUGCAACAGAUAUAACAAACGGGUUUGUGUCUUAAAUCAGGAGGUGGACAUCAUUUCUGACAGAAGUGAGACCUAAUAUUCCUCAAAGAUUUCUUCUAAUGGAGACAAGAAAUGUGAAGAUGAUAACACAAAUAUUCAUACUGAGAGAUGAAAAUAAGGGGAAUAAGAAUCCUCUGAAUUUCAGGUUCUCAGAGAAUAAAUUCAGGAUCCAGGAAGAGAAACACUACGGUAACCUGGG